GUACUACUGAAGAGUCCCAAACUAGGACGAAACAACUGUCCAGGUAU
rfam:Trichobilharzia regenti genome assembly, scaffold: TRE_scaffold0000402